rnacentral:misc_RNA from 1 species
AACGGUCUAUACCUGCGGUACCUGCGGAGGGAUCAUUACAGAAGUGAGUUGUACACAAGGGUGUUAAAAGCCCAAGUGUGCAACAAUAUACACUCCUUAUCCUACCCCUCUCUAUUGUGAAUUUUGACACGAGUUGAAAGGAAGUGCCCCUAUUUCAGAUAGGGGCUCUACCUACUCGUGCUCUUUUUUUACUCUAUACCUCAUGCCAUAUGUUGUUACAAUGAAUGUUGUUGAUUAUGG